rnacentral:rRNA from 1 species
UGGGGAAUUUUGGACAAUGGGGGCAACCCUGAUCCAGCAAUGCCGCGUGUGUGAAGAAGGCCUUCGGGUUGUAAAGCACUUUUGUCCGGAAAGAAAUCCUCUGGGUUAAUACCCCGGGGGGAUGACGGUACCGGAAGAAUAAGCACCGGCUAACUACGUGCCAGCAGCCGCGGUAAUACGUAGGGUGCGAGCGUUAAUCGGAAUUACUGGGCGUAAAGCGUGCGCAGGCGGUCCGCUAAGACCGAUGUGAAAUCCCCGGGCUUAACCUGGGAACUGCAUUGGUGACUGGCGGGCUAGAGUGUGGCAGAGGGGGGUAGAAUUCCACGUGUAGCAGUGAAAUGCGUAGAGAUGUGGAGGAAUACCGAUGGCGAAGGCAGCCCCCUGGGCUAACACUGACGCUCAUGCACGAAAGCGUGGGGAGCAAACA